rnacentral:lncRNA from 1 species
GUGUGUGCCACCAUGCCCGGCUAAUUUUUUGUAUUUUUAGUAGAGACGGGAUUUCCCCAUGUUGGCCAGGCUGGUCUCAAACUCCUGACCUCAGGUGACCCGCCUGCCUCGGCCUCCCAAAGUGUUGGGAUUACAGGCAUGAGCCACUGCGCCCAGCCUGAGGUUAACUUUUAAAUGGAUGAACUUUGGGUGAAGCAUGUUGCCUUCUGUAAUGUGGGUGGCCUCUUCCGAUCAGUUAAAGUCUUGAAUACAGCAGAAAGCCAGCCUUCCUGAGCAAGAGAGAUUCUCCAGCGGACGGCCUUGGGACUUCAUCCGCUCCACGGACUCUGCUGGGUCUGCAGCUGGCCAACCCACACUGCCUGCACUGCCCACACUGCCCACACUACCCACACUACCUACACUAUCCACACUACCCACACCACCCACUCUAUCCACACUACCCACACUACCCACACUGCCCACACUGCCCACACUACCCACACUGCCCACACUACCCACACUGCCCACACUACCCACACUGCCCACACUGCAGAUGCUGGACUUGCAGCCUCCAUUACCCCAUGAGUCCCCGCCUUAUAAUAAAUCUCCUUCUCACUUUAUGCACCCCCCUACCCCCAGUUCUGUUUCUCUGGAGACCCCGACUCAGCUACUGUGAUCCCAGGGAAAGGGAGCCUCAGAGAAAGGAACCCUGUGUCCACCGGGCUUUCUCUCCAGGGAUUUGCUGACACCUCCACUGUGCAUGGCUGGGGUGAGAAGCCAGGCAGAAAACAGCUGCUUCGAGGCCAGAAUUACAGGUAAAGAGUUCAGCAUCCUCCCCUUUGUGGGGGAACUGUGGAGCACGAGGCCUUCCAACGAGAGGCCCUGGCGUCAGCACAGACCACGAGAGGGCUGGGCUCAGGAUCAGCGCCACUGAAGGACCCUGCCUGCAUGGAGGCGCGUGAUCCAAUGUUCUUUCCUUGCUGGCAGCAGAAAAUGUUACUGGCUCCGAAGGAAGAUGACAACAUCCUGCCUCUUUGCUGAACAGGGCAGGUGUCUUUGGUGCCAGUGAGAGGCUCAAGCCCUGCAGGCUCCUGCCCAUGUGAGGCCAUCACCCCACCCCCGAGGCAUAAGAAGAGCCCCACGCCAGCUCCCUUCCUGAAGCCACCGUGCACCCCGUGAAAGCCCAGCUAGGUAAGUACCAGACCCUUUCAUCUCGUCCCGGUGUGUGGGGGCGUCUUCAGGGUUGACGGAGGAACCACAUUUGGGUGGGGUCCCUCCUCUUUUUCCAGAGUGACCACAGCACUCCACUAUUUCUUCUUUUCUUUCUUAUUUAUUUAUUUAUUUAUUUAUUUUUUUGAGAUGGAGUCUCAGUCUGUUGCCCAGGCUGGAGUUCAGUGGUGCUAUCUCUACUCACUGCAGCCUCUGCCUCCUGGGCUCAAGUGAUCCUCCCACGUCAGCCUCCCGAGUAGCUGGGACUACAGGCACACGCCACCACACCCGGCUAAUUUCUGUGUUUUCAGUAGAGAUGGGGUUUCACCAUGUUGCCCAGGCUGGUCUCGAACUCCUGACCUCAAGUGAUCCAUCCGCCUCGGCCUCCCAAAGUGCUGGGAUUACAGGCGUGAGCCGCCGCGCCCGGCCAGCACUCUCCAAUUUCUGAUCCAACUGCAUUGUCAUACAGAAAUCACACCUUGAUCGUGUUUACAGACUCAUUUCUACGCAUAGAUACAUGUCUCUGAUUCCAUGCACUGCAACGGUCAUUGCAUUUAAAAAAGAGGCAAACGCCAAGUCUCCCAGCGCCUUGGAAGACUCAGCCUCUGGGGGCUCCAUGGUUUCUGCUUGAAAGGCCGAUGGCUGCUUUGCAGAGAACCAGUCCUGAGACUCAUACCUUUCUAUUCCGAUGAGAGAACAUUUCUGCACAAGAACCUAGGUCAGGGUUCAUGUGUCUGUCCCUUGCGUUCUGCAAAGGACCGGAUCAUAAAUGGUGCAGCUCUGGGGGCCACCCGGGCCCUAUGGAAGGAACUUGUCCCUGCCGUCGUGGGGGAUGCAGCUGCACAUGGCCUGUGGACGUGCUCCAGGAAGGCGCCUGCGGGGGUGGCUGUGAACUCCCGCUGUCCCCAGCACAUUCCCUGUUGACACAUCCUGGCUGGGAGAUGUCUCCACAAUCAGCCUGCGUGCUCCGAAGUGAGGGGGAGAGGGGAAGGAGGGAGGUGAGGGGGCAAGGAGGAAGCCAUCACUUCUCUAUGAGCUGCGUGUGCCCAGCAGGCCUUGUGACAGCGCUGUGAGGUCGUGCACGUGAGAAGAGACUGAGGCGGGAGAAAUGAGAAAUAAAAACUGAACAUGAGUUCAAUUCAUCUUGCGUUUCCUUCAGGACAAAAUGUGAAUUUCAUGUCAGUAGUUUGUGCAACCAAGUCCUCUUUGUCCUGUGACUUUUAUUCAGGCACUGAACAGUGUAAACUGAUUCACACCUUCUGGGCUGCACCACCACAGGGGCCAGCAGGCCUGGGUCCCC